AAAUAUAAGUUAGAAUCUGUUAAAUGAUAAAUAUUGUAAAAUUAAAAUUAGAACAAUAGAUUCUGAGAUUUGUAAUAAACAACAGUAUUAUUUUUAACAAAAUAUGUGAUUUUUACACAGUAGCAAAUUCACAAGAAAUGAAUAUACAAUAUUUGGGUAUUAAGCUUUCCAUAUUGUAUAUAUUUAUAACAUAUUUAUCAUGCAUAUGUAUCUGGAGUCUAAUGAAAAUUAUUGGAAACUUUUGAUUACAUAUCAGAUAACUUAUUUAUUACAUAUCAGCAAAAUUAAAAAUUAAAACUAUAAUAAAUUCUAGAAAAUGAGGCACAGAUUAUCACAUUAUUCAUUACAAUAAAAUUUAAUACCCUUUCAUCAAAUGUUGAUUUAUUUAGGUGCAUCUAUAUCGAUGGAGAUAUGUUUUAAUUGUGCUUGAAGGUACAUUUAAAGCAUUGAUAAAUACACAUAUACAGAAGUAAAUAUAUGUAUAUUUAUAGUUCAAAACUAUUACUCGUUUCUUUAGAAGUCAAUAUUACUCUAGAAGUCCUAAUUUGUGCAAUAUUAAUAUUUUUCUAUAAAGCACAUAGUUCAACAAUUAUUUCAUGAAUGAAUCCUUUAGAAGAAUUAAGUAAAUCACCCUGCAUUUUUUUCGGACACCUUUGUACGUGAACAUACCAAUGUUUCUCUUGACAUCGUUCAUCACAGUAAAAAGCCAUCUCACAUCCAAGA